GAUUAGCUUGUUGGUGAGGUAAUGGCCCACCAAGGCGACGAUCAGUAGCCGGCCUGAGAGGGUGAUCGGCCACACUGGAACUGAGACACGGUCCAGACUCCUACGGGAGGCAGCAGUGGGGAAUUUUGCGCAAUGGACGAGAGUCUGACGCAGCAACGCCGCGUGGGUGAUGAAGGUCUUCGGACUGUAAAACCCUGUCGUCAGGGACGAAGGUGGCACGACUAAUAAUCGUGUUACUUGACGGUACCUGGAGAGGAAGCCCCGGCUAACUCUGUGCCAGCAGCCGCGGUAAUACAGAGGGGGCAAGCGUUAUUCGGAAUUAUUGGGCGUAAAGGGCGCGUAGGCGGUUUUUUAAGUCAGAUGUGUAAUCCCCGAGCUCAACUUGGGAACUGCAUCUGAGACUGGAAGGCUAGAGUACUGGAGAGGGUGGUGGAAUUCCUCGUGUAGCGGUGAAAUGCGUAGAGAUGAGGAGGAACACCAGUGGCGAAGGCGGCCACCUGGACAGUAACUGACGCUGAGGCGCGAAAGUGUGGGUAGCAAACAGGAUUAGAUACCCUGGUAGU
rnacentral:rRNA from 1 species